rnacentral:rRNA from 1 species
AUGGCGGCGAUGACGGUGCGCGAGGUGUUGUACAUGUACAGCGUCGCACGGCAGGCAUACAACCGGUUCUUGUCCGUGUGCGGGAACCCAGAGAAAGCCCAGAAUGCGGUGGCGCUGCUGGUGUGGCUGGACCAGGGCACCAUCUCCGCCAUCCACCACGUCCCACCCAUGGUGCCCGACGUCGUCGUCGUCGUCGCAGAAGAGGCCAACGCCGUCCUCGAGUGCCUCCGCCACCAGAAACCUGCGCUCCCGCCCAUCCCGAUCAUCUCUGCGCUCUGCAUGCAAGGCGGUGUCCACAUCGAGCCGGGCUUCUUCACCUUCCACCAGGACCUCGUCGUCCGCGGGGUCGCCCACUUCCUCGACGGUGCCGGCAAGUUCAUAUUCGACGACCGCCUGCAUGUCCUGCUCCGGAGGUCCAGACUGGGAUGA